rnacentral:tRNA from 1 species
GCCGCCGUGGUGGAAUCGGCAGACACGCAGGACUUAGGUUCCUGUGGAAAUUCCGUGAGGGUUCAAAUCCCUCCGGCGGCACCA